UACAGAGGGUGCUAGCGUUGUUCGGAAUCAUUGGGCGUAAAGGGCGUGUAGGCGGUUUGCUAAGUCAUGUGUGAAAUCCCUCGGCUUAACCGGGGAACGACGCAUGAAACUGGCAGCUAGAGUACCAAAGAGGGGGGUGGAAUUCCCGGGUGUAGCGGUGAAAUGCGUAGAUAUCGGGAGGAACACCUGUGGCGAAGGCGGCCCCCUGGUUGGAUACUGACGCUGAUACGCGAAAGCGUGGGGAGCAAACAGG
rnacentral:rRNA from 1 species